AUUGAACGCUGGCGGCAGGCCUAACACAUGCAAGUCGAACGAGUGGCGGACGGGUGAGUAAUGUCUGGGAAACUGCCCGAUGGAGGGGGAUAACUACUGGAAACGGUAGCUAAUACCGCAUACCAUCGGAUGUGCCCAGAUGGGAUUAGCUAGUAGGUGGGGUAACGGCUCACCUAGGCGACGAUCCCUAGCUGGUCUGAGAGGAUGACCAGCCCCACUGGGACUGAGAGACGGUCCAGACGCCUACGGGAGGAGGCAGUGGGGAAUAUUGCAAAAUGGGCGCAAGCCUGCUGCAACCAUGCCGCGUGUAUGAAGAAGGCCUUCGGGUUGUAAAGUACUUUCAGCGAGGAGGCGUUACUCGCAGAAGAAGCACCGGCUAACUCCGUGCCAGCAGCCGCGGUAAUAC
rnacentral:rRNA from 1 species